rnacentral:lncRNA from 1 species
AUGGCCCCAGGACGGACCCCCGGACACGGGGGCGGGGGGGUCCUUAGGUACCCGCGCACACACACACACACACGGGCCGAGAGGUCAGCCCCCUCCCCCCCAUCGCCCCCCGCCCGCUCCGGAGGGUGGUGCAGUGUGAGCCCCGGGCUGGGGCUGGGGCUGGGGGGUGGGGGCGCGGCGGUGACAUCAUCCGCACUCCCUCAGACCCCCGGGCCCCUCCGGCCGGGGGCGGCGAGGAGGAGGAGGAGGAGGAGGAGGAGGGCAUGGAGAACCCCGGGCCGGGCCGGGCCGGGCCGGGCCGGGCCGGGCAGCGCUCCCUCCCUCCCUCCGUCCCUCCCUCCGUCCCUCCCUCCGUCCCUCCCUCCCUCCGUCCCCCCGACCCCCGGCCCCCGGCCCCCCACGGGCCCCUUCCCCACCUUACUCUUGGCAGGACCGGGCCGGGCCUGGCCGGGCCGGGCCGAGCCGGGCCGGGGGUCGCGUCGGCAGCGGUCGGCGGCGGUGGGCAGCCGAGCCCGGGCUGGGCGUGCGGGGGACCCCGGCCCGUCCCCCCGGCCCGCCCCCCGGUCCGCCCCGCCCCCCGGGCCCGCCCCCCGCCCGCCCCUUCCCCCCACUCCUGCGGCAAACCGCCGCCCCGCCCCCACCCCGCCCAGCCGGCCUGCCGGGGGGCGGGGGCCCCCACAAACGCACACACACACCCCCGUCCGUACGGCCCCCUCCCCCAAUCGGGCCGGACGCCCCCGGGGGUCCUGCCUUGCUCCCCCGUCCUCGGGGGGACGUGCAAUCCCGUCCGUCCGUCCGUCUAUCCAUCCAUCCAUCCAUCCAUCCAUCCAUCCAUCCAUCCAUCCAUCCAUCCUCGUCAUCGCCCUGGCCGGGAGGCUGCAGGCAUCCGCCGAACGCUCCCCGUGGGCCGGACGCUGUACUGAGCGCUGGGGCGGGCGCCACCAAAUGGGGCCGGCCCCGGGCCCAAGGGGAGCUCACAGCCUCCGUCCCCGGCUGACGGAGGAGGGGACCGAGGCCCAGAGAACCAUCAUCAUCCUGCUCUGCGCUAAGCACUUACUAUGUGCUAGCCCAUCUCUUCGGCCAUUCCGUCUGCCUGCCGGGCGCAGACCACUGUACUAA